rnacentral:rRNA from 1 species
AAUUUUCAACGGUGGAUAUCUAGGUUCCCGUGACGAUGAAGAACGCAGCGAAAUGCGAUACGCAAUGCGAAUUGCAAAACCGCGAGUCAUCAGAUCUUUGAACGCAAGUGGUGGAGGUGUAAAAACCUUCAUGUUUGUUUCAGUGUGG